GACGAACGCUGGCGGCGUGCUUAACACAUGCAAGUCGAACGGAAAGGCCCUGCUUUUGUGGGGUGCUCGAGUGGCGAACGGGUGAGUAACACGUGAGUAACCUGCCCUUGACUUUGGGAUAACUUCAGGAAACUGGGGCUAAUACCGGAUAGGAGCUCCUGCUGCAUGGUGGGGGUUGGAAAGUUUCGGCGGUUGGGGAUGGACUCGCGGCUUAUCAGCUUGUUGGUGGGGUAGUGGCUUACCAAGGCUUUGACAGGUAGCCGGCCUGAGGGGGUGACCGGCCACAUUGGGACUGAGAUACGGCCCAGACUCCUACGGGAGGAAGCAGUGGGGAAGAUUGCACAACGGGCGGAAGCCUGAUGCAGCAACGCCGCGUGCGGGAUGACGGCCUUCGGGUUGUAAACCGCUUUCGCCUGUGACGAAGCGUGAGUGACGGUAAUGGGUAAAGAAGCACCGGCUAACUACGUG
rnacentral:rRNA from 1 species